GGGGAUUUCAUAUAACGGGAUUAUGCUGCCUUUGCAAGGCAGUCAUCAGGGUUCGACUCCCUGAGUCUCCA
rnacentral:tRNA from 1 species